UACGGAGGGUGCAAGCGUUAUCCGGAUUCACUGGGUUUAAAGGGUGCGUAGGCGGGCAGGUAAGUCCGUGGUGAAAUCUCUGAGCUUAACUCAGAAACUGCCAUGGAUACUAUUUGUCUUGAAUAUUGUGGAGGUGAGCGGAAUAUGUCAUGUAGCGGUGAAAUGCUUAGAUAUGACAUAGAACACCAAUUGCGAAGGCAGCUCACUACACAAUCAUUGACGCUGAGGCACGAAAGCGUGGGGAUCAAACAGG
rnacentral:rRNA from 1 species